GGCUCAGGAUGAACGCUGGCGGCGUGCCUAACACAUGCAAGUCGAACGGAACUUUUACUGAUUGAGACUUCGGUUGAUUGAAGUUUAAGUUAGUGGCGGACGGGUGAGUAACGCGUGAGUAACCUGCCUUUCACAGGGGGAUAACGUUUGGAAACGAACGCUAAUACCGCAUAACAUAGCGAGACCGCAUGAUCUUGCUAUCAAAGAUUUUAUCGCUGAAAGAUGAGCUCGCGUCUGAUUAGAUAGUUGGUGAGGUAACGGCUCACCAAGUCGACGAUCAGUAGCCGGACUGAGAGGUUGGACGGCCACAUUGGGACUGAGACACGGCCCAGACUCCUACGGGAGGCAGCAGUGGGGAAUAUUGCACAAUGGGCGCAAGCCUGAUGCAGCGAUGCCGCGUGAGGGAAGAAGGUUUUAGGAUUGUAAACCUCUGUCUUCAGGGACGAUAAUGACGGUACCUGAGGAGGAAGCUCCGGCUAACUACGUG
rnacentral:rRNA from 1 species